rnacentral:tRNA from 1 species
GCCUAACUGGCUUAGUCAGUAGAGCAUGUGACUCUUGAUCUUUAGGUUAUAAGUUCAAGUCCCAGGUUGGGUA